rnacentral:rRNA from 1 species
AGAGUUUGAUCCUGGCUCAGGAUGAACGCUAGCGACAGGCUUAACACAUGCAAGUCGAGGGGCAUCACGGGAGUAGCAAUACAACUGGUGGCGACCGGCGCACGGGUGAGUAACGCGUAUGCAACCUACCUAUCAGAGGGGAAUAACCCGGCGAAAGUCGGACUAAUACCGCAUAAAACAGGGGCACCGCAUGGUGAUAUUUGUUAAAGAAAUUCGCUGAUAGAUGGGCAUGCGUUCCAUUAGGUAGUUGGUGAGGUAACGGCUCACCAAGCCGACGAUGGAUAGGGGAACUGAGAGGUUGGUCCCCCACACUGGUACUGAGACACGGACCAGACUCCUACGGGAGGCAGCAGUGAGGAAUAUUGGUCAAUGGGCGGGAGCCUGAACCAGCCAAGUCGCGUGAAGGAAGAAGGAUCUAUGGUUCGUAAACUUCUUUUGCAGGGGAAUAAAGUGCAGGACGUGUCCUGUUUUGUAUGUACCCUGAGAAUAAGGAUCGGCUAACUCCGUGCCAGCAGCCGCGGUAAUACGGAGGAUCCGAGCGUUAUCCGGAUUUAUUGGGUUUAAAGGGUGCGUAGGUGGUUUGAUAAGUCAGCGGUGAAAGUUUGCAGCUUAACUGUAAAAAUGCCGUUGAAACUGUCGGACUUGAGUGUAAAUGAGGUAGGCGGAAUGCGUGGUGUAGCGGUGAAAUGCAUAGAUAUCACGCAGAACUCCGAUUGCGAAGGCAGCUUACUAAGCUACAACUGACACUGAAGCACGAAAGCGUGGGGAUCAAACAGGAUUAGAUACCCUGGUAGUCG